CAGCAGCCGCGGUAAUACCGGCGGCCCGAGUGGUGGCCGCUAUUAUUGGGCCUAAAGCGUCCGUAGCCGGGUUGGGAAGUCCUCCGGGAAAUCUGGCCGCUUAACGGUCAGAAUGCCGGAGGAUACUCCCAGCCUAGGGAGCGGGAGAGGCCGAGGGUAUUCCCGGAGUAGGGGUGAAAUCCUAUAAUCCCGGGAGGACCACCUGUGGCGAAGGCGCUCGGCUGGAACGCGUCCGACGGUGAGGGACGAAGGCCAGGGGAGCAAACCGGAUUAGAUACCCGGGUAGUCCUGGCUGUAAACGAUGCGGACUUUGUGUCGGACAAGCUAUGAGCUUGUCCGGUGCCGGAGGGAAACCGUUAAGUCCGCCGCCUGGGGAGUACGGCCGCAAGGCUGAAACUUAAAGGAAUUGGCGGG
rnacentral:rRNA from 1 species